UAAACAAACUAUAAAACAUAACGGGAAGGAGUGAUUCCUUCCCAUCAAGGAAGGAUAUCCUGAAGGAUGUCAAGUGUCCCCCGGCCCCCUCAAGAACAAGAAAUUAAUAGCAAGAACAUUCCCGUUUUUCCUGGGUCAUCGGAUUAUUUAAGAAAUGCAGCUUGAUUGCCAGUGAGCUUCAUCUUGAAGGAUGUGCAACUGAGGUGCCUGGGGCUUCAGACUAGUUGGGGUGUGCAUGGACCCAAAUUGUGAUUUGGCUUGAAUUCCAAUCAAAUUUGAGCCAAACCGUGUGGCGCCAAACUGUUUCAGUUGAACCGACCAGCUGGUCCAGUCUAUCGAACUGGUUCAGCAGUUUGGGUGGCUAAUACUUGUAAAGGGGAACCCAGUGAGGAUUCCCCUUUACAAGAACAGGGGUAGGGGACCCUGGCAGUGCUAAGGGGUGGCUGGGUGGUGGAUGGUGAGAGAGGUAGUAAGAUGCUUAUGCAGUCAGUGCAGUCACCACUCACCCUCAUUGCCUUGUUUAGGAAGCUGCCCACAUAGCAGCGGAGUGGUUCCAGUCUCCCUGCAUGCGCGGAUGCCGUUUGCAUGGCCAUGCCAUUUGCGUGGCCAUGCAAUUUGCGUGGCUAUGCAAAUGGCAUCCACGCAUGUGCAGAGGCCAGAACCGCUUCGCUGCCACAUUGUCCGUGCUGCAUUAUCAUGAUCAUUAUCAUCAUGGGCUGGCAGCAUCUCCCUAAGGCUGUGGGCUGAGCUUGUCCUGCUACUUCACGUACUGGUCCCGGAAAGUGAACUUGGAAACUUAUGCGUGCAAAGCAUGUGCUCUUCCACGCAGUUAGGGAUCCUUGCUGUCAUGUUGAUUGAUAGGCCAAGUAUGAAAACAAAACAAAACAGAGCAGGGCUGUAUGAUCUUCCACUUUCAUAAAUCAAAUGGGAACAGCUGGACUGGGGCAGUGUAUUUUUCAUCGGAAUGGCAUUUUAAGCAACAGAAUCCAGGGGGAACGAAAUAAAGGGUAGCGCAAACCCAAAAGAAAUAUAAGGAAAUAGCCUGGAGUAAACUGAAGUUUUCCUAAAGAAAUGCAGAUACCACACUUUGUCCUAAGACCCCAAGGUGGUUAACAAGAUAAAAACAAUUCAAUAACACAAGAACAGAACAAAUGCUGCUGAAAUGUUAAAAGGAGCAAGGGAGAGCUCAUUGGCCUAAAGCUUGGAUAAAAGGGCAGUCUUCACUUUCCUCCUAUUGGCUGGGAGAGAGGGAGCCAUGAAGGUCUCAGCUGAGAGCAGGUUCCAUAGCCUGGGGCAACAAAUGAGAAGGCCCUGUCCCACGUGCUUGACAAAUGGGCCUCAGCAGGUGUCAGAACACGAAGCAGAGCCCUCCCAGCCAAUCUAGUCAGGAUGGUAGGUUCAGCUAGGAGCAGGUGGUCCCUACGGUACCCAGGGCCCAAAGGGAUCAUGGUGCUGUCCUCAGCAUCUUCAACCU